AUCACCAGGGGAUCUUGUUAACAUGCAGAUUCUGCUUCAGGAGGGUUGGGGUAGGACCUGACAUUCUGCAUUUCUAACAAGCUCUCAGGUGGGGCUGA
rfam:Mustela putorius furo unplaced genomic scaffold scaffold00470, whole genome shotgun sequence.